GGAAUGAUGAUGCUGCCAUGCCCGCGGAUCUGUUGUGCGGUAGGAGAUUAAGCUGCUGAUCUAACGGAGAAAUUUGAUUGGAACAGUAAAGUGGAAGGUUAAUUAGUCCUUGAUUUUGAUUGAUGGUCUCACUUAUGGUCUCUGGUACUGAAGCACACGGUUUUACACAUGCAUUAGCUGAUGUUCGCCAAAUUAAGGCAUAUGUUUGUGUAGGGAGCUCUGAAUGUUAUUUGGAUAGCUGCAGGAGUCAAGUGCCGUUGUAUAUGCAUAUUCAUUGUUAUGACUUGCCUCUCAAAUACCUCGGUUUCAUUUGUUCUAUGAUUGGUUCAGUUUUUUCAUUACUUGAGACGGCAGUUUAGGUUGGAACAUAUAGUGAUGUGGUUUGAGUUGAUGUUGUAUCGAGUCGGGGUGGGCAUAGUAGCCAAGAACCAAUGUACUCCCUCC
rnacentral:lncRNA from 1 species